rnacentral:lncRNA from 1 species
AGUUGCUGCACCGGAAUUCCCAUUACUUAACAUUCUGCCCCGAAGCAUUAAACGGAUAGAUAAGUUUGUUUUAAAGAUAUUGUAGCUUGAAGCGUAAUGCCAGAUUCUGUGUUUUGCCAGAUUUUCAUCUGCUUGACCGAUUCAGCUAAAGAUUGGUUUCACAUCGAAACUUGUAAGAAUUUCUGGCGGAAUGCUAUUCGAGUAUUACGACAUAAUGACAUCCAACUAGUGAAUAUACGACACUUUUGUUCUUCUAGGAAAACAGAAAUAUUUUCUUUUUCAUUCCUGUUGAUUUUAAUCGUAAUGAUGAAAUCUGAUUUUACUCUUACC